UCGAGAAUCUUCCGCAAUGGGCGAAAGCCUGACGGAGCGACGCCGCGUGGAGGACGAAGGCCUUAGGGUUGUAAACUCCUGUCACCGAUUAUGAAUGGCGACGUAUGAACAGUGCGUCGUUUGACGUAAGUCGGGGAGGAAGCACCGGCUAACUCUGUGCCAGCAGCCGCGGUAAUACAGAGGGUGCAAACGUUGUUCGGAAUUACUGGGCAUAAAGCGCACGUAGGCGGCUCGUUAAGUGUGGAGUGAA
rnacentral:rRNA from 1 species